AACGAACGCUGGCGGCAUGCCUAACACAUGCAAGUCGAACGAGACCUUCGGGUCUAGUGGCGCACGGGUGCGUAACGCGUGGGAAUCUGCCCUUGGGUUCGGGAUAACAGUUGGAAACGACUGCUAAUACCGGAUGAUGUCUUCGGACCAAAGACUUAUCGCCGAAGGAUGAGCCCGCGUAGGAUUAGCUUGUUGGUGAGGUACGAGCUCACAAAGGCGACGAUCCUUAGCUGGUCUGAGAGGAUGGUCAGCCACACUGGGACUGAGACACGGCCCAGACUCCUACGGGAGGCAGCAGUGGGGAAUAUUGGCCAAUGGGCGAAAGCCUGAUCCAGCAAUGCCGCGUGAGUGAUGAAGGCCUUAGGGUUGUAAAGCUCUUUUACCCGGGAUGAUAAUGACAGUACCGGGAGAAUAAGCCCCGGCUAACUCCGUGCCAGCCGCCGCUGUAA
rnacentral:rRNA from 1 species